CCCAGGUCUGGUCUGAAUUUGGGAGGGCUGACUUGCCUAAUUUUAGAGGUGUUGUGCCCAAGAGGAAUGGAGGCCGGGUUUCCUUGCUUCUUUACCAAUCUACUUAUCGGUUUCCUGUUCAACUCCCUUCCUUUGCUUAGUAGGUUUCUAGGAGAUUGAGUGCUUUGUGGGAGCGAGCCCUGCUUUUCCCUUUGGUUUCUGAACUGCAUCUCCUUGGCAACAGCUAGUGUUGUUGAGGUACUUUGGCUGAUGCUUAGAAAUGCAGUCCUGGAAAAAGAAAGUGUGCUAUCUAAUGCAGUGCCUACACAGGCAAAAUCAAAGAUAAAUUGAUGUAAUUUCCUGGAGAAUGAGGACCAUAAAGGCAGCUGAUCUGGACAAUUCCAAUUGGAUUAUAAGAUUAAAGCAAUGAAAGGGGUCAGAAUCUAUUGGUGUUAAGAAGUCAGCCUCAGCACAUAUUUAUACAGCAAAUGUUACAGAGAAAACCCCAAACCAAAAUGUAUUUCAAAAAAUGUUGGAGGAAAUGUUAUAUCUUUUUAUGUGCUUAAGAAAACAGUUAAAAAGAACUUCACAGCAUUGGGUCUAUUAAGCACAUUUAUUCCAGUGAUUUCCCAGAUAUUUCCAAGUUCCAUUUAAAACAGAAGUCUCCUAUCAAGGAAUCCUUUGAAAUUAUUUACUCUUUUAUGGUUGUAAAGUAUGGAAAUGUAAUGCUUUUAAUGGAAACCCUAAUAAACGGCACAUGCUACAAAGUGUCUACUGAUGUACUUUAUAGGUUAGGAUUCUUACAUCACACUGACUUGCCAGUCUACAUUCCUGGUCCAGUGAAUGCUCCAGUGAUGUAGAA
rnacentral:lncRNA from 10 species